rnacentral:RNase_P_RNA from 1 species
GAAGCAGGCCAGACCGCCGCUGGUGCGAGCGUGGAAACACGGCACUGGAGGAAGGUCCGGACUGCGCAGGGCGGCGUAGCAGCUAACGGCUGUCCACCGUGAGGUGAGGAUCAGAGCAACAGAGACGAGUCAGACCGGGGUUCCUGCGAAGGGUGCUCUGUGAGGCGCCGGCGACAGCCGGUGGGCCGUGCGGCUUGCCGCACGGCCUCGGGCGCAAGCCCGAACCGAACAGCCACCCAGACCGGGGCGCAGCCCCGGUCUGGGUGAAACGGGCAAUCUCUACGCGCAGCAAUACCAAGUAGGCACACGUUGACCUGGCCCGGGGAGUGUGCGGGUAGGUAGCACCGAGCCGAAGGGUGACCUUCGGCCCAGAGGAAUGGCGGUCACGAUCGGGCUUCGCAAGAAGACCGGCCGCACAGAAUCCGGCCUAUCGGCUUGCUUCACAC